rnacentral:rRNA from 1 species
UGGGGAAUAUUGCACAAUGGGGGAAACCCUGAUGCAGCGACGCCGCGUGAGCGAAGAAGGUUUUCGAAUCGUAAAGCUCUGUCCUAUGAGAAGAUAAUGACGGUAUCAUAGGAGGAAGCCCCGGCUAAAUACGUGCCAGCAGCCGCGGUAAUACGUAUGGGGCGAGCGUUGUCCGGAAUUAUUGGGCGUAAAGGGUACGUAGGCGGUCUAUUAAGUCAGGUGUGAAAGCGUGAGGCUUAACCUCAUUAAGCACUUGAAACUGAUAGACUUGAGUGAAGGAGAGGAAAGUGGAAUUCCUAGUGUAGCGGUGAAAUGCGUAGAUAUAUGGAGGAACACCGGUGGCGAAAGCGGCUCUCUGGUCUGUAACUGACGCUGAGGCUCGAAAGCGUGGGGAGCGAACAGG